CUCCGCCUUCUUACCGGCCGCCCUGAGGGGUCUCGGCGCGCUCGGCUGAGAGCUUUAGGAGGCGCGAGCGAGCACUCCGACUAGGCCGGAGGGACUCGGAAAAUGAUGGUCCGGCAGGUGGUGGGUCCUGACCCAAGGGCCUGCAAGGAACGGAGAAGGGCAACCGAGCACGCGCUGGAUCUUGGGGAAGAAGGGGAAAGGGACUGCUGGAGGAGGCGCGCAUGCGCCGUGCGGUCCUUCGCCCCGGGCGCCCUGGCAGGGGGCGAGGCUCUGCGGAACUCCCGGAGCUGGCGCCAGGGAACAAGUCUCAGUGGAGAGCCUCGAAUUUUAAAAGUCUCAUUUAAGUAUUUCUUUUGGUUUUCCUUGUAUAAAUAUAGCUAACUUUUAAACAUUUCUUUUCCGGCUUGUGUUGUUUGCUUUGGACCCUUCAGCACCUAUUUUUAAACGUUAAGCAUUCCCCAGUCAGCAUGAAAGUUUUACUGUUAGUUUUAUUUUGUUCCUAUAAUUUUGAUUCCCCCCAGAAACUGCCACAGAUGAAAUCAAGCCAAUAGAAUUGAAAGCAAAGAUCACCUGGUGGCCAUGAAGCCGACCAUCCUUAGGCAGAAACUCCUUACCUGAGGAAUUUAGAGAUUACAAUGAUUCCACCUACAGAUGAUUAUGUAAUCCCAAUACCAGCCUGCAACAGCAACUUCCACAUAUAUGGGGCCUCUUGAUGGAAUCCGGUGUCUCCUGUCCCCACGCCAUCUGCAAUCAAUUGUGACUGCACUGACCUGCAUAAAAUUCACACGUUCUGAGAGAAAAGCAGUAUUUUUAGGACAAAGGAGAACAAAUCAGGAGCGUGAGAAAGGAAACUCUGCUGUCCCUGGACAACCUCCUCCUGAUUAGUCUGGCAUGAAAGCAAGGGAAAGCCAUCAAGAAAGUAACAGAAAACU
rnacentral:lncRNA from 1 species